rnacentral:rRNA from 1 species
GACGAACGCUGGCGGCGUGCUUAACACAUGCAAGUCGAACGAAAAGGCGCGGCUUUUGCUGGGUUCUCGAUUGGCGAACGGGUGAGUAACACGUGAGUAACCUGCCCUUGUCUUUGGGAGAACUUCAGGAAACAGGGGCUAAUAUCGGAGAUAAGCUACUGCUGCAUGUGGGUGGUUGGUAAGUGUCGGCGGUGGGGGAUGGACUGGCGGCUUAUCAGCUGGUUUGUGGGGUAGGUGCUUACCAAGGCUAUGACGGGUAGGCUGCAUAAGAGGGUGACCGGCGACAUUGGGACUGAGAUAGGGACCAGAAUCCUACGGGAGGCAGAAGUGGGGAAUAUUGCACAGUGGGCGGAAGUCUGAUGCAGAAACGCUGCGUGCGGGAUGAUGGCUUUCGGGUUGUAAACAGCUUUCGAAUGUGCCGAAGAGUGAGUGACGGUAAUGGGUAAAGAAGCACCGGCUAACUACGUG